rnacentral:rRNA from 1 species
CUGGCGGCGUGCCUAAUACAUGCAAGUCAACGGUCGUUUCUAUGGAAGGCUUGCUUCCACUGAGAAGAUAGUGGCGAACGGGUGAGUAACACGUGGGUAACCUGCCCAUAAGAGGGGGAUAACAUCCGGAAACGGGUGCUAAUACCGCAUAGUUUUCUUGAUCGCAUGAUCGGGAAAGGAAAGACGGCCUUUGUGCUGUCGCUUAUGGAUGGACCCGCGGCGUAUUAGUUAGUUGGUGAGGUAACGGCUCACCGAGACGAUGAUACGUAGCCGACCUGAGAGGGUGAUCGGCCACAUUGGGACUGAGACACGGCCCAAACUCCUACGGGAGGCAGCAGUAGGGAAUCUUCCGCAAUGGACGAAAGUCUGACGGAGCAACGCCGCGUGAGUGAAAGAAGGUUUUCGGAUCGUAAAACUCUGUUGUCAGAGAAGAACAAGUUGGAGAGUAACUGCUCCAGCCUUGACGGUAUCUGACCAGAAAGCCACGGCUAACUACGUGCCAGCCGCCGC